rnacentral:pre_miRNA from 1 species
GAGCAGCAGGUGGAGGAGAAGUCCCGGCAGCUGCACAUGUCGGCGGCCUGUUGGCCCAGCGCCGCACGCGCCAGCAGCACAUACAUACAAUGCCGAUGGCGCCGAACUUGCCGCCGACAUGUGCAGCUGUCGGGACUUCUCCUCUCCACCUGCUGCUC